AGUAACUUAGUUAAAUUAUAACAUUAACUUGUCAAGUUAAAAUUACAUUAAAAUCUAUGUAAUUACUA
rnacentral:tRNA from 1 species